rnacentral:tRNA from 1 species
GCCUUCGUGGUGUAAUUGGAAGAGCAUACUCGACUCCUAUUCGAGAGGUCCGGAGUUCGAAUCCUGGAGAUCGCA